rnacentral:rRNA from 1 species
UACGUAGGGAGCAAGCGUUGUCCGGAAUCAUUGGGCGUAAAGCGCGCGUAGGCGGCUUCAUAAGUCCGUUGUGAAAGUCAAAGGCUCAACCUUUGAAAGCCGAUGGAUACUGUGAAGCUAGAGUACGGAAGAGGCGAGUGGAAUUCCUGGUGUAGCGGUGGAAUGCGCAGAUAUCAGGAGGAACACCAAUAGCGAAGGCAGCUCGCUGGGACGUUACUGACACUAAGGCGCGAAAGCGUGGGGAGCGAACAGG